AGAAAACUUAGUAGUCAUUAAUAUCUGCUAUUUGUGGUUUGUUCCUUUAUCUUUUCUCCACACAGGUAGAUGAAGUAAGCUUUGUUGUAGAAGAUUCCAGAGUUUCUUCUUUAAGUGUAUUCUCUUGGAAAAGUAAGACCUGAGUUGAGAUACGCGCUUGCGCACUCAAAAAGUUUACCUGACACUUCAUAUGAAGGUGUGCUGAUACAAGGUAUCUGGAGCAUCUACUCAGCAAAUGGUGGGGCAAGUGUUAACAGUCCUCUGCAUUGAGACCUCAGCUGCACCUACUGAUUGCUGAGAUUUUCAGCCCAGCAGCCCUGGUAUCUUGGGAAAUGUUUUCCUGUUGCACGAAGGAACUCUUCAGCCAGAAAUAACAUUAAUGGCAGUUCAGCAGUCUCUACACCUGAGGAAAAGUUGGAAGAACAUGAAAGGAAAAAAAUGGCUUGUAGAAAAUACCUGCUAAUAUGAAGUGUGCUGCUUUGAACGUGCCAAUUUAAUCAGGCCUGCAGAACACAUCCAGUGAAAUGAAAUGAAAAUGAAAAAGCUGUCAAGCAUGCCAUUGUAAUGGAGCUGCGUGAAAAGCUGGGAAGUGAAAA
rnacentral:lncRNA from 1 species